AACGUGCACAAGCUGGGAACGUGCGGGAGCGCGGGUGGGGAUAAGAUGAGGCAUGAACGGAGAGACGGAGGGAAGAACUGGAAAUAGAAAACAGGAAAGUGGAACUGACGUCGACUUUGGGCCUUUCAGGGAAUGCUGGUUAAAAGACUGCAAUGACAUCAUCGGCGAGCUUCAUGACAGAAAGAGUGGCCGAUGGGACAAUAGCUCAGUGAAAAGCCAGAUACCUCGGGAUUAAC